GAUGAACGCUAGCGGCAGGCUUAACACAUGCAAGUCGAGGGGCAGCGCGGGAUAGCAAUAUCCUGGCGGCGACCGGCGGAAGGGUGCGUAACGCGUGAGCGACAUGCCCGUUGCCCGGGGACAACCGGUGGAAACGCCGACUAAUCCCCGAUGGGAUAUUGUGCCGCAUGGCACGAUAUUGAAAGUUACGGCGGCGACGGAUUGGCUCGCGUCCGAUUAGCUUGUUGGCGGGGUAGCGGCCCACCAAGGCUGCGAUCGGUAGGGGUUCUGAGAGGAAGGCCCCCCACAAUGGGACUGAGACACGGCCCAUACUCCUACGGGAGGCAGCAGUGAGGAAUAUUGGUCAAUGGGCGGAAGCCUGAACCAGCCAUGCCGCGUGCGGGAAGGAGGCCCUAUGGGCUGUGAACCGCUUUUGCCUGGGGGCAAUAAGGGCGUCGCGCACGUCCGAUGAGAGUACCAGGCGAAUAAGCAUCGGCUAACUCCGUG
rnacentral:rRNA from 1 species